rnacentral:rRNA from 1 species
AUUGAACGCUGGCGGCAGGCCUAACACAUGCAAGUCGAGCGGGGUUUUCGGACCUAGCGGCGGACGGGUGAGUAAUGCGUAGGAAGCUGCCCGAUAGAGGGGGAUACCAGUUGGAAACGACUGUUAAUACCGCAUAAUGUCUACGGACCAAAGUGUGGGACCUUCGGGCCACAUGCUAUCGGAUGCGCCUACGUGGGAUUAGCUAGUUGGUGAGGUAAUGGCUCACCAAGGCGACGAUCUCUAGCUGGUUUGAGAGGAUGAUCAGCCACACUGGAGCUGAGACACGGUGCAGACUCCUACGGGAGGGAGCAGUGGGGAAUAUUGGACCAUGGGCGCAAGCCUGAUCCAGCCAUGCCGCGUGUGUGAGGAAGGCCUUCGGGUUGUAAAGCACUUUCAGCGAGGAGGAAGGGUGGUGUGUUAAUAGCACAUCAUUUUGACGUUACUCGCAGAAGAAGCACCGGCUAACUCUGUGCCAGCCGCCGCCGUAACAC